GGUAUUCUGACUGUGCUAAGGUAGCAUAAUCAUUUGCUUCUUAAUUGGUAGCUGGAAUGAACGGUUGAGCUAAUUUGAUAAGUGUGUAUAAUUAAAUAGAAACUUAAAGUCAAGGUAAGAAUUCUUUGAUAUUUUAGGGGACGAUAAGACCCUAUAAGCUUAAUAAAUAUAUAGAUGAUUUCGUUUUUUAAAUUAAUUUAUUUUACUGGGGUGGUACUAUUAUUUUAACUAUUAGUUAACUUAAGAUCCUUAAAAUAAAGAUAAAACGAGAAAGUUACUUUAGGGAUAACAGCGCAAUAUUUUUGGAGAGAUCUUAUCGAUAAAUAUGUUUGCGACCUCGAUGUUGAAUUAAAAUUUCUACGUGAAGCAGAAGAUAUAGUAGAGGGUUUGUUCAACCUUUAAUUUUUUACAUGAUCUGAGUUCAAACCGG
rnacentral:rRNA from 1 species